rnacentral:rRNA from 1 species
GGGCCCGCACAAGCGGCGGAGCGUGCGGUUUAAUUCGACGCAACGCGCAGAACCUUACCAGGGCUUGACAUGGCGCUGCAGAGCCGGGAAACCGGUUGGCCUUCGAGGGUGCGUCACAGGUGCUGCAUGGCUGUCGUCAGCUCGUGUCGUGAGAUGUUGGGUUAAGUCCCGCAACGAGCGCAACCCUCGCGACCAGUUACGUGGGUGUCUGGUCGGACUGCCGGUAGCAAGCCGGAGGAAGGCGGGGAUGAUGUCAAGUCAGCAUGGCCCUUACGUCCUGGGCUACACGCACGCUACAAUGGGACGGACAAUGGGUAGCCAAACCGCGAGGUGGAGCGAAUCCCCGUAAAACCGUCUCUCAGUUCAGAUUGUGGGCUGCAACUCGCCCGCAUGAAGGCGGAGUCGCUAGUAACCGCCGGUCAGCAGUACGGCGGUGAAUACGUUCCCGGGCCUU